rnacentral:lncRNA from 1 species
UAUGUUGCAUAUACAUGGCAUCACCAAUAUGCAUAUACAGUGAAAACAUAUGGACAGAAUAUAAAUCAAACCCUUCAUAUAGCGUAGAAACAAUUUCAAUAGAAAAAUUGAGCAAAAGAUAAAAACUUAUAACUAUUUUAAAAAAUAUAUUAUCAUAACUACUUAAAAAUAUUUGUGUUUUGUUUACAUUUAUAUUUGGUAAUGUAUUGUUAAAUAAAUCUUUUAUUACAAUUUGAUUUUUUUCUUUUGUUUUUUCAAAUAUAUAAUUAUUAUUGUUAUUGUUAUAUAGUAAUUUGUUUUCAACUGUAUUUUUUUUCACCUCUGUUUUUUCAUAUAUUUCGUUUUUUACUAUACUAUUUUUUUUUUUGUGUCAUCUCUUUUUUCACUGUUUUUUUUUUUUUUUUUUUUAGUAAUUUGAAUAAAAUCAUAAGUAUUGUCACUACAGUCGUAAUCUGUAUUGGUUAGUCGGUCAUUUAGGUCCUUACACACAUUUUUAUAAUCAAAUUCGAUUAAGUAUUUUACAUUUAUUAUAUUCCAAAAUUUUUUUACCUGAACAUUUUUAAAAUAUUCUUCAAUUUUACAUUGUAUUAAAUUUAUUAAAUAUAAAUCAGUGACAUUAUCAUCAAAUAAUUCUGAAUUGUUCAUAACAUUUUUAUAAAUAUUCGUUGUUUCUUCUCCCGUUGUAUUAUGUCCUUGUUUAUUAUAUGUGUUGUAAGUGUUCUGAUCAUGACACGGAUCCGUAUAUAUAUUACCACCCGUAUAUGUGUUACCACCCGUAUAUGUGUUACCACCCGUAUAUGUGUUACCACCCGUAUAUGUGUUACCACCCGUAUAUGUGUUACGUUUUUUUUUCGCUUACACUUGUUUUAUCACUUUUUUUUUUAUCACUUUUUUUUUUUAUCAAUAUUAUUAGAAUUAUUUACACAAUGAUCACAAUUUGAAAAUUUCAAUACAUUUUUAAAUAUAUUAUAAUCUUUACUACGAAAAAGAACAUGUGUUAAGUUGUACAUACAUUCAUUUAUACUAUACCUACUGUUUUUAUCACAAAAAAACAAACCAUUUGAAUUAUUCGUAUGUUUAUUUGAACAAUUAUUUAGUUUAUAUUUUUUUUUAUUAUUAUUAUAAAUAUUUAAUAAUAGUUUUACACGUUUGCACCAUAAGUACAAAAUAUGAGGCAUUACUUGACUACUACUGUGGAUGUUACUAUGACUACUACAACACUCAGCACAACCAUUGUGUUGCCAUCUUUUAUUAUUUUUCAAAAUACAUUUUUCACAUAUAUUUUUAUUAGCACGAAAAUCAAAAUUAAAAGGAUAUAUUAUUUUAUUAUAAUUCAAAUAGUAAUUUUUUAUAUUUUUACUAAUAUAUUUAAAAUGAUAAAAUAAAUUACUUAUGUAAUAGUCUAACA